CCGGCGGCCGCCGCGCAUCGGCGACCUCGGCCUCCCCGCGCAUCCUCCUGGCGGAGCCACCACCGUUGCUCGUCGUCUUCCGAGAGCUCGCCGGCGCAGUUGAGCGGCGAGCAGACGGGGCUGGCCGGCGGUGAGGAGGUGGUCGCCGGGCAACGCCGCUGCGGCGAUGCCACGUCAAGAAUCGCGGCAGGAGUUUCUCCCUAUUUUGCUCAGAGGUAGGUUAUGCCAUGAGCAGCUAACCGCCUUCUCCGCCCUCCUCCCAUCCACGAGUGGCCGUCGAUCUAGAGCUACACACUGGUUUGUCGUUUCUCUGUUGGUUUGCUUGAGUUGUGUUUUGGUUCUGCGUGCUGGCGUUUCAUAGGUGUGCAGCCAAAGCUGCAAUCAUGUGUCGGGCGGGAGCAGGUGCUAGCGCGCCUCCGCGAGAUGGGCGGUGGCGUGGAGGAUGACCGACGAGCGCGACGGAGGCGGACGCAGUUGACCUCCUUCUCUCCCUGUGGGAGCAUCAUCUUCUCUUUAUUUUUACUGACUCCUUCUGAUUCCUUCCUCCCAAAUUUUAUUUUAUUUCAC